GGGUUGCAAUGAGCUUUGUGCCUGUUCUCACAAAUAUUAUGUUAGCUAACCUGCUUUGGCGGUUUCAGUCUGAUGCUCUGGCCUUUGUGCACAUAUGUAAGAGGUGAAACGAAGCAUUACAGUACAGAGUCCAACUCAGGCAUCAACAACCAGGGUGAAAUCACAGAAAACAAAAGGACAAACACAGGCAGGGCUCGGCGAAACAAAUGUUCGUCAAACCCAGGGGGUAAAAAUGGGAAAUUGUAUAAAAAUGUACAAAAAAAACUGGGAAAGAUACAACUACUAACUAACACUGUGAAGCUGAAGUUAAUUAGCCACAGGUGGAACAAAUCAGGUACAGGUGAGAACAAUUAGUGGGGAGCACAAACCACACAGGUAAGAUAAAGACAAAAUGAUGAGAAUUAAAGCUAUACUAUCAUAUCUACCAGGUAAAUCUGCACCGGUUUUAAGGUUUCAGUGUCUCACAAUCAUUAUCGUUUGUACAUUUCAGGAUAUUUUAAAGAGGUUUAGCUUAAAACACAAACACAAAUAUUGAUAUUCUGUUCUUUUGUGCGCAAAGUCAAAUUAAAGGCCCUUUGUGGGAUUUUGUGAACUGUUGUUUUUCUCUUUCCAAAAAACAUUCACAUCUGCAAAUUUUAAAGAUACUUGACAGCGUGUGUUAAUAGAUUCACCCAUUAACACUCGUUUCCAUACAAGUUCUGGUGGGUUUAUUGUCAUAGUUUUGCCUUCAAUCAGCUGACUGAAAAGGACCAGUGAGACUGACUUGUGUAAUGUUUAAGGUUAACAAACGUCUUCUUUUACCCAGACAUGUCCUCUUUUUGGGGCGCUGUCUGGGCUGUUAGGGCUUGUCCGGCUUUGUCUGGGGAAGUUUAUAAAGUCCUUCAAAUGUCCGUGGUUUUGUACAAGAGUUUUGAUUUUGUGUCACGUGGACUUACUGAGUUAGAAGCGCAUAAAAGACACUCGAUCCGACCCGAAAAACACUCAGAAUUAACUUCGUGCGACUCCAUGACUCCGCCCCCGCAGAGUCGUGUCCUCCACCGAUGCACACUCCUUUCGUGAGUGUGCAUCGGUGCAGUCUCGUUGUUUGAGGGCUGAACGGUCCACUCGCCCUCCUCACUCUGUGGUUUGGGACGUCCUUUAAUAUGGCGGAGCCUCCGCAGGGACGCGUAAACGGAGGGAGAGUGUAUAGGGCGAGUGUGGGAGCCUAGGAGUUUCAUUCACGUAGUUCGAACUUGUACUGUAAAAACACGGUGGAUAAAUCACACCUUGCUUUUGAACAUCAAAGGAUCUUUUGUGCUUACUGUCUGGGUUUUAAGAUGCACUUCAGUACAUGUUCUUAGAGACCCUGGUGUUUCCUCUCUGUCUGUGAAAAAAAAACAUUGCUGAGAUGAACAAAUAGAUGACAGACCUCCAACAACAGCCGGGUGCAUCAACAUUAUCAAUACAAAACAAUAUCUAUCUAACAUACAGGUCUAAGUGUAUGUUUACUGUAUCUUGUGAUCUCUGGUCCUCAUUCUUAAACAUAUCUGUUUGUUAGGCAUGGUUAGGAGGACUGGAUAACUCACCGGCUAUGUGGUUAUAUGAAUAACAAUGAGGACCUUAGUGUUAGUGAUUCUACACUGUGCAGAUCUAUGACACUUCAGAGCCGACUGACUCUUCAUUUUCACAACUUUGAUUAUGAUGUGCAAAAUGGACUUCUUCUUGUUUUUUUAUGUUCCAGUUUGUUGUUCUGUUUCUGCUUUGGGUUAUUUUUAUUUUGUUUGUAUUGUUCUAUAUCUGUGUCUAUUUUUAUAUAGAGGGAGGUGCAGAACUGGUGCUGUCUGAUGGGGAUGAGAUCGCUCCUUACAUUUCUUUCAUUUGUCACAAAGGCCUCCUUUUUGAUGAAGUCAGAUCUGUUUGUUUGUUUUGUAUUUUCGUUGGAAGAUUUCGACAAACAUAUGAACAAAAAUGCAGCAGAGAUGGUUUCGGUUGUAUGUAGGCCAAAUUGUUCCUGGUUAGACUUGGCAAAGAUCCUUUAUUGCAUCUCCCCUGAUUUUGCCAACUCCUUAUGGCUCUAGUUCCUCAUUAUAAACAUGCCCAGAAUUAUUUUUAAAGCCAAAUCAAAUCAUUUUAGGGUUUUAAAAUGAUAUACCGCCUCUUUGAAGUUUCCCCCCAGAACCAGGUGAUCCAGAUGGUUUCUGGGCUGAGAAUGUGACAUUACCAUCCUCUGAUUCAAACAGUUGCUCUUUCUAUUUUAACAGCUGGGCGCUUGUGGAGCCUGGCACAGUUUAAUUAGUGUGAAUACAUUAGGUCUGUGUGAGAUCUUGCCUACCUGGCAGGGGUUAGAGCUGGGCAGGGACUGCAAAGGAGCAGGCUGCACCAGCGGCGCUCCCGGACCCUACAGUAAUGACCCUGCCAGGCUGACACAACACUCCCACCUGGGGGACCGCUGCGGCUUCCCAAUGACAGAUGGAGGGCUGCUGAGACGAGAGAUCUGGGCUGGAUCACUGCAGGCUCACAGAGCAACCAUUAGACUGGCCAGUGUGCCAGCGAGCCAACAUGUCUUUGUUUUUGGCUGCACCUUUGCCUGGUAACUAAUGUAAUAGUGUGAGCAGACAGAGAGCCCAAACAUUUAGCACAUGUCUACUCCAUCAUCAUUUUGCACCAGACGAGAUGUUUAGAUUUGUUUUAGAAAUAUUACACAGAGGAGAUCUGUGCUGAGAUUCACUUACUGCCUCCAUAUUUUAAUACUUAUCAUGUGACCUCUGGAAAUUACAAAAAGCUGAAACAAAAGAAGGGUCAAGCCAAAUGUUUGACUCCAAGUUACGGUCCCAGAGGCUGAAAUAUAUUAGUUGGGUUCAUAAAAAUUCUGCGUGAAAUAAGACAAAGAUCAGGGCUUCAAAAAGCAAUUUUAAAUUUUACUAAGCUGUUAGAUUUCACUUUUGGGACAUUUUUAAUGUAUGAAAUACAAUAAAGAUUAUAUAUUUUUAACCAGGUGUAAGAUCUUCAUGAUCUCAAAGAUGAGAGCCCCACACCUCCUUUCGUUUCUACAUUUAAAGUUAUUGUUGUUCAGAUAAAACCAACUAUCUUUUGUCAAGGAUGGCAUCAGUGCACUCCACAUACUCUUUAGUUCUGCAGCUCCUAUCCAGCUUUGCGGCCCGUGAAUGUAAAACACAGGAGUUUACUUCACAAACAUGUCUCAGAUUUUACAUUCUGAUUUUUUGUGUAUUGGUAUUAUGCCAGAUUUGAGUACUUUAGCUCAAAGCUUCAACAGCAGCCCACCUUAUUUUGCCUAUUUCAGUUUACAUUACUUGCAGUAUGAAAAGAGUUUAAAAUGAACUAUUUGUAUUUCUCAUAAAAAAAACUGAGGCAAACCUAAAACCUAACAGUUCUUUGGCAGUUUAUAAGUACUGCUGUGAGCAGUUUAAGCAGCAAAUUCUUUAAAGGGAUAUUCCGGUGUAAAAUUAAGUUAGGGGCAAACACACCAUAACACCGAGUUAGACACCCCCUCGAGAGAUGAAUGUUGACGACCGCUUGUGUCUCUAGUUAUACCAACUUUAAUAACGACCAUAGGAUAGCAAUACAUAACGGUCUGAGGAGCCAAAAACAAACCUCAACCAAAACGCCACUCUAUAGCCACAAAUAAUGCUCAGAACAGCACCUAACUUCAUCAACAGUACAUAUAGGGUCCCAGCCAUAGCACUAGCCACCAAACAUCAUUUCAGCUUUUCCUAAUUUCUUUAGCAAAGAGACUAAACAUAACUCACCUACUCUCUUCCAGCAGCCGCUUGUUUGUAGUGAGACCUCAGGCCAGUCCAUUACGGACUACAGCGGGAUGUCGCAGUUCAAGGAAGAACAUCAUCAUAUUAAUCAUUUUGCACUGCAGACGCGGUAGUUCUUCUGCCUUAGUGUCUCGGUCUGGUUGCAUUUCCAUGAAGAAAAGUGAUCUAAAUAUUUUGGCAUCACUUUUGGGGAUGUGUUAUGUUGUCCAUCUUUUCUAAAAUCUACAGUUUGCUCACACAAGAUCUCAUUUUCCAGCUGGUCUCAAGAAGAAAUUUCCUCUUAAAGCCCACUUACACUGUUUUUAAGAAGAUGUUGACGCUAUCAAAAGUUUUCUUAUUGAGGAUUUGUACCCGGGACAAACUUGAAGAACACCCAAAAGCACUCUUCUGCUCAUUUGAGUGCUGAUUAGCUUGUCAAAAAAGAAUUGAGUAUUGUUCUUUCCUUCAUAUCUCUAAAGUACAUUUAUAAAUGCAGUAUUUAAAAAAUAGCCAACUGUUAUUCCACUUACUGACGUGUCUCGAUUCUUUUAUUCUGACGUACUGAUCAGAGGAUUCAUUUGAAGCCCCCAGAUCUCCACCAUGUGGGGACUUCCAUCCCUGCCUCUGAUGACCAGCUCCGCUCCCCUGUUCCAGUCAGCAGAAAAGGGAGCUCUUUGGUCUGGUUUGUGUUAGUGAUAUAAUCGUUAAUAAAUGAAAGCUCUUCCAUCACACACCCUAAGGCAAAGACUGGCGGCUGGCUGGGACUUCACUGGCGGCGGGAGAGCAAGGGGAAUGGAUGUGACAGUUCUCAUAAAAAUGAGAGGGAUGAAGGGAUUGGAAAGAGAGAUUAAAGACCGAGAGGAGGAGAGAAGAGAGGAAUAGACACCACCUUUAAUGUUCACUGUCCAUGUGCUGUCCUGAAAUGCUUGAAUCUAAUGGGGGACGAGCAUGCACCACCUCCUGAAGGUUGUACAAGCAAUUAUGCCACUUAGGAGUCUUUGACAGUCAAGGUUGUAUCGGCAAACAGACACGAGGAGCAUUAUAAUAUAAUG